GACGAACGCUGGCGGCGUGCUCAACACAUGCAAGUCGAACGGAAAGGCCCUGCUUUUGUGGGGUGCUCGAGUGGCGAACGGGUGAGUAACACGCGAGUAACCUGCCCUUGACUUUGGGAUAACUUCAGGAAACUGGGGCUAAUACCGGAUAGGAGCUCCUGCUGCAUGGUGGGGGUUGGAAAGUUUCGGCGGUUGGGGAUGGACUCGCGCCUUAUCAGCUUGUUGGUGGGGUAGUGGCUUACCAAGGCUUUGACGGGUAGCCGGCCUGAGUGGGUGACCGGCCACAUUGGGAAUGAGAUACGGCCCAGACUCCUACGGGAGGCAGCAGUGGGGAAUAUUGCACAAUGGGCGGAAGCCUGAUGCAGCAACGCCGCGUGCGGGAUGACGGCCUUCGGGUUGUAAACCGCUUUCGCCUGUGACGAAGCGUGAGUGACGGUAAUGGGUAAAGAAGCACCGGCUAGCUACGUG
rnacentral:rRNA from 1 species